rnacentral:rRNA from 1 species
AUGUCCCAUCAGCUGGGCUUAAUUAAGCCACAUAACACGUGGGCUUUGGGCGUGCUUUGCAUGCAAUUGGCUGAUGGAAUAAGAUAUGCAUGCAUCUUCGGUUUGUGUGCUACUACGGCGCCUUGGUCAUUUAAUCUAGCUCUACUCUUCGGAGAUUUCCGUUGGCGUUCCGGCAAGUCCCUAUGCGGGCUUGGUCCGUCGUACAACUGUGGAGAUGAUUACAAGUGCCAUGUAUAUUUAUUAUGCCAGCAAUAUGUUUUUCUCACGGUGGGCGUCCCGGCGAGUCCCUAUGUGGGCUUGGUCCGUCGGAAAAUAUUUAAUGGUUGGCUGAAGAUAGUUGCUAAUAAAGCUAGAUGGCACAUGGUGAGUGCACCUUAUCCUAAACCUGAUCAUGAAGCCUACACCCUAGGGACCAGGAUGGUAGCAAGAGGUCUAGCGGAGCCAUACCAUCCUGAUCGAGUUGUACGACAACUUACUUUGAGACAACAAGUGCCCUAUGCUCCGUUGGUCAGCGUGUACACAAAGGAGGAUACUGGUGUUGCAUAUACGUAUUGGUCGCAUUUGUUACGCUCAGACCAAGGAGAGUUCCACUACCUUCUUAAUGAUGCGCAUGAGGCAUUUUUUUCUGUGGCCUGGAACAACUGGUGGGUGGGAUUUAUGAAACCAUUUAACAACAUAUUCAAUACUCUUCGUCCGGGCAUUUCGAAUGGUCCGAUUUAUAAUCCACGAAAACAUAAUUUUCUGAGACACGGGGAGGAAUACAUAAUUCCUCGCAACCUUUCAGAAAAUGAUUUUGAUGUUAUAAAGGAAGUCUCCGCCAGGGAGGACGCUCCAGUUGUGGAUGAGGAAACAUCCACUCAAUUGGCAAUGGCGUCCAUGGACGUUUCUUCUAUCACUGAGCUUUUUGUAGAGACCAUUGACAGGACGCUGGUGAGGGCCAUCCAAGGCUUAGACGAUUCCACUAGAACAGAACCUCAACGCCGCGACAUUCUUCAAGCAGUUUAUUUGAUGCUGCCAACGUUGAAGAAGCAGUGUGAAGAGGAGAAGGCCGUGGAAGACCUUGGUGUGCAACUUAACGCAGCUACCUCCACGUUGCGGGUGACUGAAGAAGCUAUUAUGCAGCUAGAGUUGGAACAAUCAGCAAAUGUACAGGAAUUGAAGGUUCUUGAGGAGAAGUUUAAGCUCGUGAUGUUUAUACUCUUUAGACCCUUUAGACUCAUUUCACUCGUCUCCUACAAGGAAAAUUUUGUGAGGAGAAAAGAAUGUUUGUUUCCUUGCAUCAUCAUAUUAAAAAUGCACCCGGUGAAAUAG